CCAUGAAGAAGAAUGAAAUCUUAUCAGUUGCAGUUCUUUUGUUUACUUAAGCCUAUAUUCAUGUCUGUACCCCAGGAAGAUGGCUGAAGAUGGGCUGAGUGGUUACACUUUGGCAUAUAAGGGGUGAGUGGCCUGACUUGGCAUGUUGGAAUCCCAGGCAUUUGGGCUGUGGGCUCAAAACUCCAGUUUCAGCUUCAUGUGACACCAACUCUAAGGAAGCAGCUAUUACGGGAAUCAGAGACACCCUCAGCCAAAUACUGGCAAACUGAAUCCAGUACCACAUUGAAAAGAUUAUUUACCAUGAUCAAUUGGAAUUCAUCCCAGGAAUGUGAGGAUGGUUGAACAUCUGCACUUCAUAUUUAUUGUAGUAUUAUUCACAAUAGCUAAGGUAUGAAAUCAACCAUAUUUGUCUUCUCACUAUCUACACGUGGAAAUGAACACUCACAAACACACACACACAAAGGCAACUAUGUGAGGUGAUACAUAUGUUACUGUACCUGAUUUUGGCAAUCAUACUGUAAUGUAUAUGUGUAUCAAAACACCACAUUAUACAGCUUAAAUAUAUACAAUUUUAUUUAUUAAAACCUCGAAAAAAAUGAAAUGACAUUGUAUCCCAAUA